rnacentral:rRNA from 1 species
UACAGAGGUCCCAAGCGUUGUUCGGAUUCACUGGGCGUAAAGGGUGCGCAGGUGGUCGGGUAAGUCUGAUGUGAAAUCUCCGAGCUCAACUCGGAAAUGGCAUUGGAUACUAUUCGGCUAGAGGGUUGGAGGGGGGACUGGAAUUCUCGGUGUAGCAGUGAAAUGCGUAGAUAUCGAGAGGAACACCAGUGGCGAAGGCGAGUCCCUGGACAACUCCUGACGCUGAGGCACGAAAGCUAGGGGAGCAAACAGG